rnacentral:rRNA from 1 species
UACCACCCUGAACGCGCCCGAUCUCGUCUGAUCUCGGAAGCUAAGCAGGGUCGGGCCUGGUUAGUACUUGGAUGGGAGGCCAUUU